GAGUGAUCAAGUGUCUUAAGGGCGUUCGGUGGAUGCCUUGGCGACAAGAGGCGAUGAAAGACGUGAUACGCUGCGAUAAGCUAUGGGGAGCUGCGAAUAAGCUUUGAUCCAUGGAUUUCUGAAUGGGGCAACCCACUCCGUAUGGAGUAUCCCGCAAGGGAAGCAAACCCGGGGAACUGAAACAUCUAAGUACCCGGAGGAAAGGACAUCAACCGAGACUCCGCUAGUAGUGGCGAGCGAACGCGGACCAGGCCAGUGGCUAUAGAGUAAGAACCGGAACCGUCUGGAAAGUCGGGCCUUAGCGGGUGAUAGCCCCGUACGGGUAGAAAUCUUUAUAGUCCUCGAGUAGGGCGGAACACGUGAAAUUCUGUCUGAACAUGGGGGGACCACCCUCCAAGCCUAAGUACUCCUUGUCGACCGAUAGCGAACAAGUACCGUGAGGGAAAGGUGAAAAGUACCCCGACGAGGGGAGUGAAACAGUUCCUGAAACCGGACGCCUACAAACAGUUGGAGCCCGCAAGGGUGACAGCGUACCUUUUGUAUAAUGGGUCAGCGACUUAAUUUAACGAGCAAGCUUAAGCCGGUAGGUGUAGGCGUAGCGAAAGCGAGUCUGAAUAGGGCGUUUUAGUUCGUUGGAUUAGACCCGAAACCGAGUGAUCUAGCCAUGGCCAGGUUGAAGGUGCGGUAACACGCACUGGAGGACCGAACCCACGCCUGUUGAAAAAGUCGGGGAUGAGCUGUGGCUAGGGGUGAAAGGCCAAUCAAACUCGGAAAUAGCUGGUUCUCCGCGAAAUCUAUUUAGGUAGAGCGUCGGAUGAAUACUCUCGGGGGUAGAGCACUGGAUGGGCUAUGGGGGCUUACCGCCUUACUGAUCCUAACCAAACUCCGAAUACCGAGAAGUACUAUCCGGCAGACACACAGUGGGUGCUAACGUCCAUUGUGGAGAGGGAAACAACCCUGACCGCCAGUUAAGGUCCCUAAGUUAUGGCUAAGUGGGAAAGGAUGUAGGACUCCCAAAACAACCAGGAUGUUGGCUUAGAAGCAGCCAUCAUUUAAAGAAAGCGUAACAGCUCACUGGUCUAAAUAAGGGGUCCCGCGCCGAAAAUGUACCGGGGCUCAAGCCAUACACCGAAACUGCGGGUGCACACUUUGUGUGCGCGGUAGCGGAGCGUUCUGUAAGUCUGCGAAGGGAGACCCGCGAGGGCUCUUGGAGAUAUCAGAAGUGCGAAUGCUGACAUGAGUAACGAUAAAGGGAGUGAGAGACUCCCUCGCCGAAAGUCCAAGGGUUCCUGCUCAACGCUAAUCGGAGCAGGGUUAGUCGGCCCCUAAGGCGAGGCCGAAAGGCGUAGUCGAUGGGAAACAGGUUAAUAUUCCUGUACUUGGUGGUAGUGACGGAUGCCGUGUGUUGUAUCUCCUUAUUGGAUUGGGGGUGCAGCGAAGGUGUUCCAGGAAAUAGCUCCACCGUAUAAACCGUACCCGAAACCGACACAGGUGGACUGGUAGAGAAUACCAAGGCGCUUGAGAGAACUAUGCUGAAGGAACUCGGCAAAAUGCUCCCGUAAGUUCGCGAGAAGGGAGACCUCUGAUCGGGCAACCGGUUAGGGGUGGCACAGACCAGGGGGUGGCGACUGUUUAUCAAAAACACAGGGCUCUGCGAAGUCGCAAGACGACGUAUAGGGUCUGACGCCUGCCCGGUGCUGGAAGGUUAAGAGGAGGUGUGCAAGCACCGAAUUGAAGCCCCAGUAAACGGCGGCCGUAACUAUAACGGUCCUAAGGUAGCGAAAUUCCUUGUCGGGUAAGUUCCGACCUGCACGAAUGGCGUAACGACUUCCCCGCUGUCUCCAGCAUAGACUCAGUGAAAUUGAAUUCCCCGUGAAGAUGCGGGGUUCCUGCGGUCAGACGGAAAGACCCCGUGCACCUUUACUACAGCUUCACACUGGUAUUCGUAAUGACAUGUGUAGGAUAGGUGGUAGACGUUGAAGCCUUUGCGCCAGCAGAGGUGGAGUCACCCUUGAAAUACCACCCUUGUCCUUAUGGAUAUCUAACCGCGGUACAACAAUAUCCGGGACCGUGUGUGGCGGGUAGUUUGACUGGGGCGGUCGCCUCCCAAAUGGUAACGGAGGCGCGCGAAGGUGGGCUCAGAGCGGUCGGAAAUCGCUCGUUGAGUGCAAUGGCAUAAGCCUGCCUGACUGCGAGACUGACAAGUCGAGCAGAGACGAAAGUCGGCCAUAGUGAUCCGGUGGUCCCUCGUGGAAGGGCCAUCGCUCAACGGAUAAAAGGUACGCCGGGGAUAACAGGCUGAUGAUGCCCAAGAGUCCAUAUCGACGGCAUUGUUUGGCACCUCGAUGUCGACUCAUCACAUCCUGGGGCUGGAGCAGGUCCCAAGGGUUUGGCUGUUCGCCAAUUAAAGUGGUACGUGAGUUGGGUUCAGAACGUCGCGAGACAGUUCGGUCCCUAUCUGCCGUGGGUGUAGGAGAAUUGAGAGGAUCUGUCCCUAGUACGAGAGGACCGGGAUGGACGUACCUCUGGUGGACCUGUUGUGGCGCCAGCCGCAUUGCAGGGUAGCUAUGUACGGAAGGGAUAACCGCUGAAAGCAUCUAAGCGGGAAACCCACCUCAAAACCAGUUCUCCCUGAAGAGCCGUGGAAGACCACCACGUCGAUAGGAAGCGUGUGGAAGUGCGGCAACGCAUGAAGCUUAGCUUUACUAAUAGCUCGUUCGGCUUGAUCCUCUCAUU
rnacentral:rRNA from 1 species